GACGAACGCUGGCGGCGUGCUUAACACAUGCAAGUCGAGGGCACUUUGGGGGCAACUCUGGAGUGACCGGCGAACGGGUGCGUAACACGUGAGCGACCCUUGCCUCGUGGUGGGGGAUAGCCGGCCCAACGGCCGGGUAAUACCGCAUAGGGUGCUUUCUUCGCAUGGAGAGAGUAGCAAAGCCGUGCAGCAAUGCACUGGCGCCACGAGGGGGGCUCGCGGCCAUCAGCUAGUUGGGGGGUAAUGGCCCACCAAGGCGACGACGGGUAGCUGGUCUGAGAGGAUGGCCAGCCACAUUGGGACUGAGAGACGGCCCAGACUCCUACGGGAGGCAGCAGUGGGGAAUAUUGGACAAUGGGCGCAAGCCUGAUCCAGCAAUGCCGCGUGAGUGAAGAA
rnacentral:rRNA from 1 species